ACUGCGGUUGAAAACACAGAGCUGACUGAGUGCAACCAUCUGGUUUUUGUUUGAACAAAAUCGGCCCAGGGGUUCAAGAGUUCCAGUCAAUAAAGGAGUUCCAAACCCCAGAAGAAUCUCCAAGUCCAGUUACAAAAUUGUGAAGUCAGCCAGAAAUCAGUGACGUAACCUUGCAUAACUCAAGGUUCUGGAUCCUGGGCCGCUUGGGAGUUAUAUAACAUGACAUAACAAUGGACCAUUGUCAAAAAUUUGUAUCCAUAAAAGUAUUGUGUUGAUUUCCUUCAUUUUUGAAACAUUUGUAUAAACCAGCCAACUCUUUCACCCUAUCAAUCUUGGGACUAUCUGCCAGUGAUGUCAAAUUAAUUGAUUAUUUUUAAAAUAUAACUUAAGACUUAACGAGAACAUGGCACACUCCCUCCCAAUAUACCAAAUAUGCACUUUUGUAAAAUGUUAUGAAUGCUUAAGUGUUUAAGAAGUAAAAGAAGGGUUAGCUAAUGAAAUAAACUAAUUCAAAGUACACUUAAUGUGAAAAUUUUGAAAUUAAUUAGCAUAUUAAUUAAGGUGUUAAUUAGCGUAAUGAAGAAAUAUUGACAAUUUUUCAUCUUGCUUCAUACAAAUUGCCCACAUUUGUGUAGAACUAGAAGGGAUUGAAAUACAACUUUAUGGAAGCCUUAGUAAAACUAAGUAAUUUUUGUCAAUGAAUUAGCAUAUUAAUUAGUUCUUAAUUAAGAAAUAAUCAAACAAAAUCAUCUGAAAGUGUUCAUUUUGUUUUACUUUGGGCUUCAAAAAAUGACUAAGAAAACUGUGGAGAUGAGAACCCCUUUAAAGCUUGAGCACACUGUAGACUACAUGUAGUGACUAUUGUCUUAGCCCUGAGGGUCAGCUCAGCUGUUUAUAAGAAACCUUGAGAGGUGAUGAAUGACUCACCACAGGAUUAGCCUUAGGCCAAGGGGUCAACAAAGCAAGCUGAUAAGUGUCUCGUGUUAUUGGAAGUACAUCAUGCGUGCAUGUACAUUUGUUAAUGUAAACAUUUUGUAAACCAGUAUAGAAAACUGUUUGGGUAUACAUGUACAUAUGUAUUCAUCUUUUACAGAAAUCUUAAGUCUGCAAUUUGAAGCAAAAUUAAUUAGUAUUUGUUACUAAGUAAUGCCAACUGAGCAUGCUAAGGAUUAUCGUCAACGCACAUGACGAACUUGUUUUUUUUUUGUGGGUAAAGUUUUCGUUUUUUCCCCGUUUUUAUCGCUUGAAAUCCAAAGAGCAAUGUGACAAUAGAAUGAAAUAUUAGACAAGAAGAAAAUGAAAUCGUCAAAUUAAAAAUGACAAUCUAGAAACAAUCGUAAAA